rnacentral:RNase_P_RNA from 1 species
CACUGAGCAGCCGCGGACAGAUGCGAAAGCUGCUGCCCGAGGAAAGUCCGGGCUCCACAAGGCAGGAAUAACGGCUAACGGCCGCCGGGGGCGACCCCAGGGAAAGUGCAACAGAAAUAAACCGCCCGCAAGGGCAAGGGUGGAAAGGCGAGGUAAGAGCUCACCGGCGCUGCGGAGACGCAGCGGCCAUGUAAACCCUAUUCGGAGCAACACCGCGGAAAGACAUAAGCGAGCCUUGCGCGUCUUUAGGAGGUGGCAUUGAGCAGGUACGGCAACGACCUGCCAAGAUAGAUGGCUGCUCACGACAGAACCCGGCUUACAGGUGCGCUCG